GUUAAAAAUCAAAGUACAAAUAGCAAAGUCCAAUCGGCAUGAACCUUGCUACAUUUACACUUUAGUUUACACUUUACCACGUAAUAUUACCCUGUUGGAUAGUUUAAAUUUUAAACAGUUUUCCCAUCAUCCUAGUUUCAACCAUAAACGAUACCAACUAGGGAUCGGCGGAUGUUGCUUAUAGGACUCCACCAGCACCUUAUGAAAAAUCAAAGUUUUUGGGUUC
rnacentral:rRNA from 1 species